AUAAUACUCCCUCCGUUCCGAAUUAGUUGUCUUGGAUUUGUCUAGAUACGGAUGUAUCUAGACUUCGUAUCUAGACAAAUCCAAGACAACUAAUUCGGAACGGAGGGAGUACCUC
rnacentral:pre_miRNA from 1 species